rnacentral:rRNA from 1 species
GAGAGGUAACGGCUCACCAAGGCAUCGACGGGUAGCUGGUCUGAGAGGAUGAUCAGCCACACUGGAACUGAGACACGGUCCAGACUCCUACGGGAGGCAGCAGUGGGGAAUCUUGCACAAUGGGCGCAAGCCUGAUGCAGCGAUGCCGCGUGCGGGAAGAAGGCCCUAGGGUUGUAAACCGCUUUCAGUAGGGAAGAAAAUGACGGUACCUACAGAAGAAGGUGCGGCCAACUACGUGCCAGCAGCCGCGGUGACACGUAGGCACCAAGCGUUAUCCGGAUUUAUUGGGCGUAAAGAGCUCGUAGGCGGUUUGGUAAGUCGGGUGUGAAAACUCUGGGCUCAACCCAGAGAGGCCACUCGAUACUGCUAUGACUAGAGUACGGUAGGGGAGCGGGGAAUUCCUGGUGUAGCGGUGAAAUGCGCAGAUAUCAGGAGGAACACCAGCGGCGAAGGCGCCGCUCUGGGCCGUAACUGACGCUGAGGAGCGAAAGCAUGGGUAGCAAACAGGAUUAGAUACCCUGGUAGUCCAUGCCGUAAACGUUGGGCACUAGGUGUGGGUCUCAACCAACGAGAUCCGCGCCGUCGCUAACGCAUUAAGUG